GGUCUGGUUGUAGAGAUACAGUGAUCAGGUUACGAUGAUUUCUCAAGUAACAACCUCGUAGCUUGAUCACAAUAUCCCUAUGACUUAGAUAA
rnacentral:pre_miRNA from 1 species